AAAGGAAGGCUUUGAUGUCCAGCCUCAUGCAGGACGGGCCAAUGGAGAAUCAGCCUCUGGAAUGGAAUUCAAGUCAGUUAAACCAAGACACAGAAAGGGCUCACGGAGUGUCUAUGACAGGUUGGGUUUUGAGGUGACCCAAAAAGAACAGCACCCCUCUAAGCUGCCUUAGUGGUGAAGAGUUAAAAAAUAGACCCAAGAAUCAAACAGAUGGGGAUAAAAACGUUGCCUUUGUUACUCAUAAAAGCUCUGUGUCAUGGGGCAUGGCUCAGAUCUGGCCAACGGGCUUAUUCCUGGUCCCUGGGAUCAAACUUGCAACACUCACCCGAACCGGAGGCCUCCCUUGCACAAAGGAUCCUGUCCCCAUAAUCUUUGUGGAAGGCCAGGAAGAGAGGAGAACACACAGGGAACAGAGGUUUCCUCCAGGUGGCUGGCUCUUCCAAGAGAGGGCCCGGUGCCGCCCUGAGCAAACUCCUUUGCCAAACUCAUCCGUCAGGAUUUAUUCACUGCUAUUCUGGUGCAGAAGUCCAAAACAAAGCCCACAGAAAGAGAUAAAUAAAAAGCCCUCCACCUCUUGUACAAUUUGAAGGUGGACUCUGUCUCUGAAAGAAGUCAGGAGAGGUGGGAGAUGCAACACUAGCGGAGAAGGAAGGAGAACAUGGGACACAUCUGAGAACUUCCCUGGAUCCUGGUUCGGAAAAUGCAG